GUUCUUAUACUAUAAAUUGUAAUUAAAACAAUAAGCAUCUCCCCCACCGUUCCCAAUAAGUAUGAUAAAAAUUUGAAACUCAAACAACUUCUCUAACACUCUAACUAAAAACAUCUCCAAGACAAAACCCCUCUCACGUCAAUACAUAAUCCAACCAUCCAUUGACCCUAACAACACCAUUUUCGUCUCAAAGCAAAUGUAAUGUAACUCCAAAAUCAUUCUCAUUUUUACUUUUUCACGUUUUUUCUCUGUUAUAACAAUUCAUAAUGUUUCCGAAGGAUACUUUCGAUACAAUGGAAAAAUCACAUCAUGACGGGUCAAUUUUAUAGUUUAAUUUAUAGCAGAACUCCCAAUUAAGAUGACACCGGACGUAGCAAAACCAGUUGUUGAGGAACUUGAUUUUGUGAAGAACUUUUUCACUAAAAAGAAAUUUACCUCCCGUGAUGAUUUGUUGGAUUGGGGUCAUUGUGAAGCGACUAAGUUAUGUUUUGCUAUAAUUAUUUCAAAGUCUUAUCUUGGUUUUAAUCAAAGAAAACAAUUUCUUAUAUUAAGGUGUGAAAGGGGUGGUGUGAUAUAAAAAAAAUACAAAGUUGAACCACAAUGACACAUGAACGAGAAAUGUGAGUGUCUAUUAAGGUUGAAUGAUUAUAUCUAAUGUUCGGAAGUUUGGAAAACACAUCAACUUGUUAAAUGGUUAUAUCUAAAGUUAGAAGGUCAUCUUGUUGUCGUUCGUCUAUAUGUGGAUGAUAAGAACUUGUUAGUGAGAUCAGAAUGAACAUGUUUGUGAGUUUGGGAGGGGGGUGAUUAUUGAUAAGCUCGUUAGACCAUCUUUUUAGCGCAUAAUAAAACGUAUCGAUCUCACAGAGACAUGUUGAAUAUCAAAUGUGUUUUUUAUGUUGUUAAGCUAGAAAAUAUUUAAUAUUUGGGAGUUUAAUGAUUUUUCAUUUUUAAAAAAAUAUAUGAUAAAAUAAACGACUUGGAAUUAUAUAUUCAUCACAAUAAUAAAAAAAAUCUAACCUCAAUUCUUCCUAUUGGAAAUCAAAGUCUAUAGGUGAUGUAAGCUAAAGUGACUAAUGUUAUUUUUCAAGGGUGGAAAAGUGUAUUUUAAAUCAAUAUACCUUCCUAUUUGCAUGGCUUGUUAUAUUACCAAAAUCUAUUAAGUUCAAUUACCCUAUAUCGCCUCAA
rnacentral:lncRNA from 1 species